rnacentral:rRNA from 1 species
GUGGGGAAUAUUCCGCAAUGGACGAAAGUCUGACGGAGCAACGCCGCGUGAGUGAUGAAGGUUUUCGGACUGUAAAGCUCUGUUGUUUAGGACGAAAGUGCCUGUUGCAAAUAGUUACAGGUAUUGACGGUACUGAACGAGGAAGCCACGGCUAACUACGUGCCAGCAGCCGCGGUAAUACGUAGGUGGCAAGCGUUGUCCGGAAUUAUUGGGCGUAAAGAGCAUGUAGGCGGGAAUCUAAGUCUGUUGUGAAAAUGCGGGGCUCAACCCCGUAUUGCGAUGGAAACUGGGUUUCUGGAGUGCAGGAGAGGAAAGGGGAAUUCCCAGUGUAGCGGUGAAAUGCGUAGAUAUUGGGAGGAACACCAGUGGCGAAGGCGCCUUUCUGGACUGUGUCUGACGCUGAGAUGCGAAAGCCAGGGUAGCGAACGGGAUUAGAAACCCCUGUAGUCC